rnacentral:rRNA from 1 species
CCUCGGCUAAUACCGCAUGAUCCGGAGAGAUCCGGGAAAGAUUUAUCGCUUCAGGAGGGGCCCUGCGUCGGAUUAGCUUGUUGGUGGGGUAACGGCCUACCAAGGCGAUGAUCCGUAGCUGGUCUGAGAGGAUGAUCAGCCACACUGGGACUGAGACACGGCCCAGACUCCUACGGGAGGCAGCAGUGGGGAAUACUGGACAAUGGGCGCAAGCCUGAUCCAGCAAUGCCGCGUGAGUGAGGAAGGCCUUAGGGUUGUAAAGCUCUUUCACCCGCGACGAUGAUGACGGUAGCGGGAGAAGAAGCCCCGGCUAACUUCGUGCCAGCAGCCGCGGUAAUACGAACGGGGCGAGCGUUGUUCGGAUUUACUGGGCGUAAAGGGCGCGCAGGCGGCUUAUUUUUGUCAGGCGUGAACAGCCCCGGGCUUAACCUGGGAACUGCGUUUGAUACGGAUG